rnacentral:rRNA from 1 species
UACGUAGGGUGCAAGCGUUAAUCGGAAUUACUGGGCGUAAAGCGUGCGCAGGCGGUUGUGUAAGACAGAUGUGAAAUCCCCGGGCUCAACCUGGGAACUGCAUUUGUGACUGCACGGCUGGAGUGCGGCAGAGGGGGAUGGAAUUCCGCGUGUAGCAGUGAAAUGCGUAGAUAUGUGGAGGAACACCGAUGGCGAAGGCAAUCCCCUGGGCCUGCACUGACGCUCAUGCACGAAAGCGUGGGGAGCAAACAGG